CCGCGAGGCACGCUCUCCCGCCUCCUCUAAUCGCUUGUGGACCCCACCCACACCUCACACGCCGAAGUACCUUGGCCGCGAAUACUCACACACACACACACACACACACACACAUAUAUAGGGCGCACUGCCCACACCUCUCGCACCCAUCAAGAGCGAAUGGGGCAGUACACACGCGACGAGUGGUCGCUGUAGCGGCGCUGCUUCGCUGCAUACCCCCCGACGCCACGCGUCGCGCUCGGUGUGCGCGUGCCGGGCUCGGGUCUGGAUGGGCGGUCGCAUGCUCACGGUCUGCGGACCCGAUGGCGAGGGGGUCUCCCUCGACGAGCGCACCCGCGUCUCCGUGCAGAUCGCACCCGGGGGCACCCGGGGGGACUUGGCGCAGGCGCCACGGACGACGGCGCGGAUGCAGGCCACGCUGGCGCACCGGGCAGGGCGAAGGGGUGCGUUGUAGGCGAGGCCUGUGACUGCCGCUUCGCGUGCAGAACCACCAAGCAAACCGCCACAGCAAACUGCCAAGCGUCCGGAGGGGGUCCCCGGACAUUCACGUGCAUGUGCGCACCGCUGUCCCCGGGUGGCCAUGCGAGGACCCCAGCACCGUUUUCCCUCUCCACCCCCCGCGAGGGUUGGAAGGAGGGACGCGUGUGUGUGCACGUGCCUGCCCUCCCUGGCCCCCUCCCUCGAGCACUGUGCUCCUUCUACUUUCCCCUACCCCCAUCUCCGCUGGAAAGUCGCCGACUAGACGCUGCAUCUGUGAUUCUGUGUUUGCUUCUUUGUGGAUGUCGAGUGUCGCAUCGCUGUUGCCUUUCGCAUCUUUUUGUUGCUGUUGUUUGUGUGUUUCAGGCUUCCCAUCCUGCGCAGCCGGCGCGACGAAAGUCGUCGUGAUGCGCUGUGUUGUCGGCGAUAGUUUUCCUUCUUAUUUAGCCUUUGUCCAGUGCUGCUCAACCCUCGUGGAUCUGGUAUUAGUUUUUACUUUCGAUUUAUCCGCUUAUCGUUUUCUUCCUCUCCUUCGGCUCAUCUGUGUCGUGCGUUCGCGUGGAGAGAAGUGCACUGUCCGUCGUUCCCAUCCUUGUCUGAGAGGCAUCCUUACGAGGCCACACACGCGCGUGCGGACGAGCCAACGCAUCCAUGUACACUAGUUUUGCUUUUUGAUUUCUUUUGGUUUGGUGAGAAUUUGUCUUUUUCCUUUUUUUGUUGGAAUGUGUAAGUGUCUGUGAGGGUGUGCGUGAUGAUGGGGAAUCUAGCGGCGCGUCUUCAUUCACCUAUCGUCUGCACUGAAAGAGAGAAUCGAAAGAGACAGCCGGGUAAGACGGCGACCCCUUUUAGGCGGGCGGAAAGGGCGAAGCCCAUCAUUUAGGAGCCGUCAUCUACUACCACGAUAGCAGCACUGACAUGAGGAAAUCCGAUAGCAUGAAAGACGCGGUAGCGAGCUUGAGGUGGAAAGGAAAGGAGCAACAAAAAUAUGGCUGGAGGCGCAAUGAAAAAGAGGAGCUGCAUGCACUGGAGUUUGAAAAACGUCGAAACCACUCGCUGCGCCUGAAGCCUUUAUUAUUGUGUUUUCCCUUUGUUUUUGGUCUUGAGCCUCUUCUGCGUCUUUCUCUGUUGCCUUUUUUUAUGUCUUGCGUCCUCUGUGUUUUCCCGGGGGGGGGGGGGGGGCUGUUCUCUUCAUCGGCUGCGCUCGGCCUAUCCUUUCCCGCCCUCUCUCUCAUACAAACGCACGCACUGCGGUCUGCGUGGGCUUGUUUCCCUCUUUUAUUUUCCUCCUGAUGUCUUUACACUGUUUUUUUUUUUCGUUUUUUUUUUGCUUCCGUCCUACGUGCAUCCUCUCUCAGUUUCGUCGCCUCUUCUCUGGGGUCGUGCUCGAUGCCUGACUCUGUCCUCACUCAUUUCCCAUCCAUCGUGGCCUUCUCGUCGGCGGCUGCGCAAGUGGCCGGCGGGCAUGCAAUGCGCAACUGUGUGCACGCGCUGGAAACCGCUAGCGGAAACGCAUGGUCCGGUGUGGUGCCGAUAUGCGUGGAGGGAGUUAUUGUCUGUUCUGCUAUAGUAGAUGGUUCUACAGAAAUGCCCGUAUACAUAAUACUUCGCUUGCUGGUGCUUUCCUCUUGUCUCUAUCCUCGCAUCUGCGUGAUGCACACAUCAGCGUCUCCCUUCGCCCCUCCUUCUUCUGCUGCCCUUCGCUAUUAUCAGUUAAUGCUCUCUUUCUGGCCUUGUCUGGCCUCGGCGAUGCCUCGUGGUGGCUCUGCUCGGAGCACCCCACCCCGCCCCCACUCCCUUUCUCUCAUAUAUGUGCGAAUCGUGCGCAGCUGGGCGUAGGCGUGUGCGCCACUCCUCUCCCGUCCUCUCUCAGAGAAGCGGACUAACUCCACGAGCCGCGUGUGUGUGCACGCGGCUCUGCCUUCUGCACUCGCGUCUUCUUUUUCCUGCUCAAUAAGCUGAUGUUCGUGUCGCGAUACUGCGAUGUGGAAGAGGAAGUGGCUUACCGAUGAGAGAAGAACUGCGCAUAUGCAUAUCAUGAUCAAGUGUCCCUUCGCUCUCGGCUUCCGUAUUUCUCGCUCUGGUUCGCUUCACCUCGUUGGCAAGAGCACUCGCACCUCUUUUCUUUUUCCAGAUUGCUUUGUUGUUCUGUGAUGCAGCGCUUCUUUUCCUGCACCGCUUCCACUGUCGACGCCGAAAAGCGAAAGGAAAAGGACUUGGCACCUGCCCACGGUUUCGUUGUUUUUUGUUGUUGUUUUUGGAGGGGGAGUGGACGUGCGCGUGGGGAUCGAUGUGACCUGCGGCUCUGUGUCUCAUGCCUCUGCAGGCGGCACACAUGCGCACUCACCCUGCACACAGAAUCCCAUCGGCGUGAGACACAAACCCCCCGCUUUUCUUGAGGUCGCAACGAGUAUGCCAACGCAGAGAGAGGGAGCAGCACUAUCCCUUCCGUCUCUUCCCCUUAACAUGCGUUACAUGCUCACAAAGGAAGAGAGGAUCUCUGAAGUAGUCAGAACAGCAAC
rnacentral:misc_RNA from 1 species